GGAGGGCAAGUCUGGUGCCAGCAGCCGCGGUAACUCCAGCUCCAGAAGCGUAUAUUAAAGUUGUUGCAGUUAAAAAGCUCGUAGUUGGAUCUGGGUGGCAUGACUGCUUACCGUUGCUUGGCUGCCUGGUCUAUAACAUAGACCGGGUUGGUUGAGUCGGUCUAGUGGUUGUGCAGCCUUUCUGCCGUGUCUGUUUCGACAGGUGUUGAUUGGGUUGGCGGGUUCUUCCUGUCGGCCUGUUGACAUGCUUCUAGAUGCCUUUAAACGGGUGUCUGGGGCGGACGGCAUGUUUACUUUGAACAAAUUUGAGUGCUCAAAGCAGGCCUGUGUGCCUGAAAAGUCUUGCAUGGAAUAAUGGAAUAGGACUUCGGUUCUAUUUUGUUGGUUUUCGGAUCCGAAGUAAUGGUUAAGAGGGACAGACGGGGGCAUUUGUAUGG
rnacentral:rRNA from 1 species